GAGGGUUUAGCUCCGUGGUAGAGCGCAUGCUUAGCAUGCAUGAGGUCCUGGGUUCAAUCCCCAGGACCUCCU
rnacentral:tRNA from 1 species